ensembl:lncRNA
AACACUUAGACAUUUCCAUGGCUCUCUAAUUCAGAGUGGGCUGGACCUAAAAGCUCUGAACAGGAAUAAGCCUAGGAUACAAAGGGACAGGCUGGAUUUAGUGACUGCAUUUCUGAUGCUGACAUUUUAAGGUGGUUUUGUUCUCCCUUUACGCGACUUCCUCUGAAACUGUGGCUUAACAGAAACAGGAUUCUGAUACCCCAAAAGCUGAAGAGGUGUCCACAGUUCGUAAGUACGAAAGAGGAAAAGCAAUGUGUUAAGGAGUCUUGAAAUUCCCUCAAAUUUCUACAGUGAGUGGGAAAAUGGGACUCUGAUGCACAUUUAGAUAUUUUGGGGGGGGGGGAUAAAACCUCAAAUCUGAAAAUUUCUAUUGAUUUUUUUUCUUCAGUCUUUCUAAAUCAGAAGAUAAAUAAAUAACCUCCAACUUCCUCUAGCUGAGCACAGAGGACAUGGCAGGGCAGAGAGCUGUGUGCCUCCAGUCCAGGAGCAGACAGGAUCCCGUGUCAGGGAGAGGCAGAGAAACCUAUUCCUGAACGAGUGUGCCAUGAGGAGGAAACAUGCGGAGUGUGUGAUCAGUGCACCAGUGCUAAUGAGAAGUUUUACUUCAAAGAGUAACUGAAUAAUCACACGUAAAGACUCUUCCAUCUCUUCUGCGAGCAAACUGGUGAAUCUUCUAGGGAAUGAUCAAAGAAAGAAAGUCUUAUGCAAACAGACUGCCUCGGUGCUCCAGCAGCUUCACAGUGUGUGGUGAGAGCAGAAGAAGGUAUGAGCAAUAUCCACCUGUUGGUACUUCAGUUAACAUCCACAUCUCCACUGCAGGGCAGACACUGAUUUGACAUAACUGACCUCCAAACCAGAAGUGUGGGUGUUACUGUCCUGCAGCAUUUGUAAACGGGAUCAGGACUUUCUGCUAAGCAUUAACAAGAACCAGGGAAGUGAAAAGGACUCACAGACAUUAUGUGCAUAUAUGCGAAAUGUGUUUUUGAUGUUUCUGUGUUUGGGCAAGCUAGGACAUGGGUAAACUUUAUGUGACAGCAGUUUACAGAAGCUUUGAGGUUGAAACUUCUAGCAGCAAUUCCUCACGUUGUUACAGAAGUUCAAAGACGUUUGCCAACAAAAAUGGAACAAGGAAAUACUGUAAUCCCAUGAUCUCACAUAUCCUGUGUCAAACUAUUUCUUCAUAGAAGGAGGUUGAAUUUCUGGUGUUUUUCAGAUCCAUGGUUCUAGAGUAGCUUUUAGGAGUCAGAAUCCUUUCAUGUUUAUAGAUACAGGCAAGACAGUUCCUGCCAGAUCUUCCAACUUUGCUUUAUUUCCACAUUAUUUGCUGUGUUUUACUCCUAUUAAUACCACACAGAGUGACUCUCCCAAGCAAGGUAAAUCCUAAAGCUCAGAGCAGAGGAUGUCAAUCCAAAGCACAGGGUCAGAGUGCCACCUUCAAGCCAGGACUUCCACAGAAAUCUUUUAGCAGUCUGAACCAAUAUGUGGAAAAUGAGCAUCUAUAAAACAUCUUUGAAUUCUUGCCUAUGGUGAAGUUAAGCUAAGUUUCUCUCUCUCAUCCUUUCAGUCCAAGUUAGCCUGUUGUCGUGUCCCCAUGGUGCUAAAUUUGGCAUUUGGACAGUGAAGUUUCCAGCAGCCCUACACGUGUUGAACUGCACGCUUACAGCUAAGCGUGAGGCCAGCUGGCUGUAACCCCAUUCUCUCCCCUGCUCCACUCAGACAAUCCGAACCACUGCAGGGCACUCUGGAAUGGCUUUUCCCUGAGCAGAGGCGCUCAGCCUGGGGCAGGGCUAUCUGCAUGCUCACAAAGCCAAGCUUCUGGCUCGCUGGGAGCAACCAGGGAUCUGAUGAGACUGACAGAGCUGCUAUUGGGUAGCAGCACUAUUGCUCUUCUAGGAGACAUUUCUGAGAUUAUAUUUAUGUUUGAUGAGAUAAAUGUAAUAUUUAUUAGCUCGGGAGCACUGCGCAAAAUAACAUUGUAAUGUCAUAUGUUUGGUCUUCUUUAGCUGUAUUUCUAUGUACAUAAAAUGUAUUUUUACAGACAAUAAAAUUACUUCGUC